UACAGACGGUCCCAAGCGUUGUUCGGAUUCACUGGGGCGUAAAGGGUGCGUAGGUGGUUAGGUAAGUCCGAUGUGAAAUCUCCAGGCUCAACCUGGAAAUGGCAUUGGAUACUAUUUAGCUUGAGGAGUGGAGGGGGGGACUGGAAUUCUCGGUGUAGCAGUGAAAUGCGUAGAGAUCAUGAGGAAGACCAGUGGCGAAGGCGGGUCUCUGGACAGUUCCUGACACUGAGGCACGAAGGCCAGGGGAGCAAACGGG
rnacentral:rRNA from 1 species